UACAGAGGGGGCAAGCGUUGUUCGGAAUUACUGGGCGUAAAGGGCGCGUAGGCGGCCCGCUAAGUCGAACGUGAAAUCCCCGAGCUCAACUCGGGAACUGCGUCCGAUACUGGCGGGCUUGAAUCCGGGAGAGGGAUGCGGAAUUCCAGGUGUAGCGGUGAAAUGCGCAGAUAUCAGGAGGAACACCAAUGGCGAAGGCAGCUCGCUGGGACGGUAUUGACGCUGAGACGCGAAAGCGUGGGGAGCAAACAGG
rnacentral:rRNA from 1 species